CGAUAAUUAUUAACGACUCUCGACAACGGAUAUCUCGGCUCUCGCAUCGAUGAAGAACGUAGCGAAAUGCGAUACUUGGUGUGAAUUGCAGAAUCCCGUGAACCAUCGAGUCUUUGAACGCAAGUUGCGCCCGAAGCCUUCUGGCCGAGGGCACGUCUGCCUGGGC
rnacentral:rRNA from 1 species